rnacentral:rRNA from 1 species
CGUGGGUAACCUGCCCAAGAGAUCGGGAUAACACCUGGAAACAGAUGCUAAUACCGGAUAACAACAGAUGAUGCCUAUCAACUGUUUAAAAGAUGGUUCUGCUAUCACUCUUGGAUGGACCUGCGGUGCAUUAGCUAGUUGGUAGGGUAACGGCCUACCAAGGCGAUGAUGCAUAGCCGAGUUGAGAGACUGAUCGGCCACAUUGGGACCGAGACACGGCCCAAACUCCUACGGGAGGCAGCAGGA